rnacentral:lncRNA from 1 species
CUGGAGCAUGGAGUGGGAGCUGGAGACACGCACAACACUGAGUCUGCUGAGAAUGUGGCCAGUGGAGAGACAUGUUUGCCCUUUUGUUGUCCUGAACUGAAAUAAAGUGGAUCUACAGCACACGCGGGCGGCUCCAGCAGGCAUGGUUUAAAAGACAAAGAAAAGCCAGGCCGGCCUGGGCUCCGGCUUUGUGCUGGCGACUCCCACCCU